AACGCACGAGACCUGCGGACCUGCGGAGGGAUCAUUAAUGAGAAACUGCCCCUCGCGGGUAGAUCUCCCACCCUUUGUAAACUUACCUUUGUUGCUUUGGCAGGCCCGUCUCCGGACCGCCGGCCUCGGCUGGCCAGUGCCUGCCAGAGGAUUCUAAAACUCUGUCUGUCAGUGUUGUCUGAGUCUAUAUACAAUCGUUAAAACUUUUAACAACGGAUCUCUAGAUCGGAAGAGCACACG
rnacentral:misc_RNA from 1 species